rnacentral:rRNA from 1 species
UAAGCGGAGGAAAGAAACUAACAAGGAUUCCCCUAGUAACUGCGAGUGAAGCGGGAAAAGCUCAAAUUUAAAAUCUGGCAGUCUUUGGCUGUCCGAGUUGUAAUCUAGAGAAGUGUUAUCCGCGCUGGACCGUGUACAAGUCUCCUGGAAUGGAGCGUCAUAGAGGGUGAGAAUCCCGUCUUUGACACGGACUACCAGGGCUUUGUGAUGCGCUCUCAAAGAGUCGAGUUGUUUGGGAAUGCAGCUCAAAAUGGGUGGUAAAUUCCAUCUAAAGCUAAAUAUUGGCGAGAGACCGAUAGCGAACAAGUACCGUGAGGGAAAGAUGAAAAGAACUUUGGAAAGAGAGUUAAACAGUACGUGAAAUUGCUGAAAGGGAAACGCUUGAAGUCAGUCGCGUUGUCCAGGGAUCAACCUUGCUUUUGCUUGGUGCACUUUCUGGUUGACGGGUCAGCAUCAAUUUUGACCAUUGGAAAAAGAUUAAGGGAAUGUGGCAUCUUUGGAUGUGUUAUAGCCCUUGGUUGCAUACGAUGGCUGGGAUUGAGGAACUCAGCACGCCGCAAGGCCGGGUUUUUAACCACGUACGUGCUUAGGAUGCUGGCAUAAU